GGUCCCUUAAGCAAGUCUCUUAUGUUAUUUAGCAUUAAAAAUAAAAGAAAAAUACUGAUUUAUCAAAGACACGUCUCCUAAUUAGGAGAAGCAAGGAACGUCUCUUGUGAGACACGUGUCCAAGCUUGCAGCAGUUUCGUCUCUUUCUCUGCUUUCUCUCUUCUCUGCUUUCUCUCGACGGUGAAUUCUCUUCACAUUAGAUGGCUCUCUGAUUUCUUUCUCUCUUGGUGGCUGUUGUACCUCAUCUCUUCUUCCUCCGUUACGUUCCGUUCUCCACAAAAAAGCGAUUGAAUGGACUCCAUCUCUCCGCUUUCUAAUCAUCAGACGACAACGAGCUCGAGCUCCGAUCUCUCUCGCCGUAAGCGUAAGAAGAAAUCUCCACCGUCUCCGCCUCCAUCGUUAGAGAAAUGGAGAUCGGAGAAGCACCCACAGAGCGUUAGCCAUCGUUGGAGAAUGGGGUGAUCAUGUUACCCUUCAGGCUGCUGCGGAUUGGGUCAGAACAAAAGCUUGUGAAGGAUGGCUUCAUCAUCAGGAAACCAACCAAGAUCCACUCGCCUGAAACAACCAAGAUCCACUCGCCUGAGUUUCUUGCUUUUCUCCUAGCUUUGUUACAUGCUCUGAUUGUGAACAAGGUUUGACUGCUUUUUCAUUUCUGUUGCAGAUAACUAAACCCAUCUUACAAGAAGCUUGACAAGGCACAUGUAACAGAUGGUGACGAGUUUGAUCAGGUGGCUCGUGCUUCGGCGUUUAGCGUGGGUCUCCUCUACGGGAGCAUGAAGCUCAAGGUCUUGAAGGUAACAACACACUUUCGAUUUGUGAUUUUGUAAUUGUGGAUGUCUUUUGUAAAACCUAAAGAAGAUCUUUUGUGUACACCUUUCAGAAAUUUUCUCUGGCUUGUUUCAACAUCAUGUAUUCAUGUUGCAAAAGGUUUACUCUUGUUGUUUGCUCAUCUUUGCUUGUAAUGUUUACAUUCGUUUACAAUGUUAUUCAUUUUCUGAAAACUAGUUUCAUAAUGUUGGCUUUAGUUUUCUGUUGGUUUGUGAUUAUGAACUAAUAGAAGAGAUAAUGCAUUUUUU